rnacentral:misc_RNA from 1 species
UUAAUGUUUUGUAUUGAUUCAGACACAAACUAUUCUGCAUAAAUGCGGCGCCGGAGCGCCGAAGCACAUUUUGCUUCCACAGGUUUGAAGGGUUGAAGGCCAAAAGGCCAUUCAGUAAUGAUCCCUCCGCAGGUUCACCUACGGAGA